rnacentral:tRNA from 1 species
GGAAAUGUGCCUGAAUAUUAAAGGGCCACUUUGAUAGAGUGGACCAUGAGAGUUAAAAUCUCCCCACUUCCU